UUCCUUGGCAUUGAUGGAAAGGUCACUCGU
rnacentral:piRNA from 1 species